rfam:Nocardia asteroides NBRC 15531 DNA, contig: NCAST37.
UCGGUUCCGGUUCACGUAUCCCGCGCUCCAGCGGUGUGCGACCCGGCGACC